rnacentral:rRNA from 1 species
CCUACGGGAGGCAGCAGUGAGGAAUAUUGGGCAAUGGUCGGGAGACUGAACCAGCCAAGCCGCGUGAGGGAUGAAGGUACAGAGUAUCGUAAACCUCUUUUGUCAGGGAACAAAGGCGGGGACGUGUCCCCGGAUGAGUGUACCUGAAGAAAAAGCAUCGGCUAACUCCGUGCCAGCAGCCGCGGUAAUACGGAGGAUGCGAGCGUUAUCCGGAUUUAUUGGGUUAAAAGGGUGCGCAGGCGGUCUGUUAAGUCAGCGGUAAAAGCCCGGGGUUCAACCCCGGCCCGCCGUUGAAACUGGCAGUCUCGAGUUGGAGAGAAGUAUGCGGAAUGCGCGGUGUAGCGGUGAAAUGCAUAGAUAUCGCGCAGAACUCCGAUUGCGAAGGCAGCAUGCCGGCUCCACACUGACGCUGAGGCACGAAAGCGUGGGUAUCGAACAGGAUUAGAUACCCCAGUAGUC